GACGAACGCUGGCGGCGUGCUUAACACAUGCAAGUCGAACGAUGAACCCGGAGCUUGCUCCGGCGGAUUAGUGGCGAACGGGUGAGUAACACGUGAGUAACCUGCCCUUGACUCUGGGAUAACUGCUAGAAAUGGUAGCUAAUACCGGAUACGACCCUCGGUGGCAUCACCAGGGGGUGGAAAGAAUUUCGGUCAAGGAUGGACUCGCGGCCUAUCAGCUAGUUGGUGAGGUAACGGCUCGCCAAGGCGACGACGGGUAGCCGGCCUGAGAGGGUAACCGGCCACACGGGGACUGAGACACGGCCCAGACUCCUACGGGAGGCAGCAGUGGGGAAUAUUGCACAAUGGGCGCAAGCCUGAUGCAGCAACGCCGCGUGAGGGAUGACGGCCUUCGGAUUGUAAACCUCUUUUAGUAGGGAAGAAGCGAAAGUGACGGUACCUGCAGAAAAAGCACCGGCUAACUACGUGCCAGCAGCCGCCGUAA
rnacentral:rRNA from 1 species